UACGUAGGGGGCAAGCGUUGUCCGGAUUUAUUGGGCGUAAAGAGCGUGUAGGCGGUUUGGUAGGUCCGCUGUGAAAACUCGAGGCUCAACCUCGAGACGCCGGUGGAAACCAUCAGGCUAGAGUCCGGAAGAGGAGAGUGGAAUUCCUGGUGUAGCGGUGAAAUGCGCAGAUAUCAGGAAGAACACCCGUGGCUAAGGCGGCUCCCUAGUACGGUACUGACGCUGAGACGCGAAAGCGUGGGGAGCGAACAGG
rnacentral:rRNA from 1 species